GUGCAUGUAGUUUAAACAAAACACCAGCCUGUGAAGCUGAAAACAAGUAAAAUACUUCAUCCACC
rnacentral:tRNA from 1 species